GAGUGGCGAAACAUAGCCUAGGUGCUUCAAUCCAAACUCUCGUGUAUGUCUUGAUUGUCUUCCCUCUCCGAGCACCCAUGGCGGCUUCAAUCCAAACUAUCGUGUUUCAAACUCAGAGUGCUGUUUCGCAUGGGAAGAAUCCCGUUGCAACUAGUGUACUAAAAGCUACAAGAAAACGGAAUCUAGGUUUCUCGGUUGAUCUCAAACUCAAAGAGAUCGGCAAACUGUCGAAAUUCUCCGAAGGAAGAGGCCGCUUCACUGUCUUCGCAACUGCUGGCUCUCCUGGAAUUGCAUCUUCUGGUGUCAGUGAAGACGCCAUAAGUUCGUUGGAUACGGUGGAAGUGUUUGAUUUGAAUGGAAAAUCAAUUCCAAUAUCUGAUUUGUGGGAAGAUAGGAAAGCAGUUGUUGCAUUUGCUCGUCAUUUCGGGUGUGUCUUUUGUCGUCGGCGUGCUGAUUUUCUUGCUUCUAAGAAGGAUAGAAUGGAUGCAUCUGGAGUGGCUCUUGUUAUAAUUGGACCAGGUAGUGUCGAUCAGGCAAAGGCAUUUUCUGAGCAGACAAAAUUCAAAGGAGAAGUUUAUGCAGAUCCUAGUCACUUGUCAUAUAGGGCAUUGAGUUUUGUUUCUGGGGUCUCAACAACAUUCACUCCAGGGGCUGGUCUGAAGAUAAUACAGUUGUACAUGGAAGGGUACAGACAAGACUGGGGGCUUUCCUUUGAGAAAGAUACUGUGACAAGAGGUGGCUGGCAGCAAGGAGGAAUAAUUGUUGCAGGUCCUGGUAGAAAUAAUAUCUCAUACGUCCACAAGCAGUGAAUUAGGAAAAAGGAACAUCCAGUAAAACCAUGUCAUAAGUCCAUAACCCUGUAGUAUACCAUAAGACAAAGAAGCUGGGGAUGACCCGGAUAUUGAAGAUGUUCUGAAGGCAUGCUGCUCAUAAAAAAACCACUCUUACAUUUUAGUUGCUGAAAACUGUGGUGGAAUUACUUAUUGGUCUUCUUGAUGUACAAUAUCAUAUCACAUGACAUGAAGAUGCUACUUGUGGUUAUGUAUGUUUUAAUUUUGUGAAUUGUGAUGAUGUAAAUUUUGGAACAUUUUGGCUUUGGAACCUCUUACUUUCAAGUGAUCCAUUUUAUCAAGCUGUAUGACUAUCUUGGUUUGAGAAAUAUCAGCCAGUAACCAGAUAUAUACGUGCUCCAUAUAAACAA